UACGUAGGGCGCAAGCGUUGUCCGGAAUUAUUGGGCGUAAAGAGCUCGUAGGCGGUCUGUCGCGUCGGUCGUGAAAACCUGCAGCUUAACUGUGGGCGUGCGGUCGAUACGGGCAUGACUGGAGUUCGGCAGGGGAGACUGGAAUUCCUGGUGUAGCGGUGAAAUGCGCAGAUAUCAGGAGGAACACCGGUGGCGAAGGCGGGUCUCUGGGCCGAUACUGACGCUGAGGAGCGAAAGCGUGGGGAGCGAACAGG
rnacentral:rRNA from 1 species